UCGGCAACACUGCGGCGUGCCUAACCAUGCAAGUCCAACGGGACUUAUUGGAAUGAGACUUCGGUCAAAGGAAAAUAAGUUUAGUGGCGGACGGGUGAGUAACGCGUGAGCAACCUGCCUUUCAGAGGGGGACAACAGUUGGAAACGACUGCUAAUACCGCAUAAUGUACAGAGGAGGCAUCUUCCCUGUACCAAAGAUUUAUCACUGAAAGAUGGGCUCGCGUCUGAUUAGAUAGUUGGCGGGGUAACGGCCCACCAAGUCGACGAUCAGUAGCCGGACUGAGAGGUUGAACGGCCACAUUGGGACUGAGAUACGGCCCAGACUCCUACGGGAGGCAGCAGUGGGGAAUAUUGGUCAAUGGGGGCAACCCUGAACCAGCAACGCCGCGUGAAGGAAGAAGGCUUUCGGGUUGUAAACUUCUUUUGGCCGGGGACGAAACAAAUGACGGUACCCGGCGAAUAAGCCACGGCUAACUACGUGCCAGCAGCCGCGGUAAU
rnacentral:rRNA from 1 species